rnacentral:rRNA from 1 species
AAUUGAUAAGGUUACUUAGUGGCGGACGGGUGAGUAACGCGUGAGGAACCUGCCUCGGAGUGGGGAAUAACAGACCGAAAGGCCUGCUAAUACCGCAUGAUGCAGUUGGACCGCAUGGUCCUGACUGCCAAAGAUUUAUCGCUCUGAGAUGGCCUCGCGUCUGAUUAGCUUGUUGGCGGGGUAAUGGCCCACCAAGGCGACGAUCAGUAGCCGGACUGAGAGGUUGGCCGGCCACAUUGGGACUGAGACACGGCCCAGACUCC